AUGAUGGUUUUCCAGGGCGACACAUUGCUCCAGAGCUGCUGUGGAAAUGGCUGGGGCAAACGAGCUGCUUUCCUGAUGGCUGCUUCAGUUUGCCAUUGGAGGAGCGCAGUGCAACAGCAACAAGAAGACCCCAAAGCAACCCAUGGUAGUGGUGUUUGUUGGGUGAGGUUUUGGCCUUUGCAGCUCAGUCCUGGAUCUGUUUGUGCAUGUGUUGAAUGGGAGCCCUGGGAUGAGGCUGGAGCAGAGAUCCAGGAAUCCUUGCUCGCAGGUGCUGGAGCACCAGGGCACUGUUUCCACAGGGAAACACCUUCCUGGAGUAGAGGUCUCCAAUCCUGUGGGAUUCAGGAAACUUGGCAGACGGUAGAGAGGGAGGAUUCAUGUUUGUGCCUACGAGCCACAGAAGAAUCCACUCUGGAGAAGCUGGGGCUUCACUGUUGGCUUCCUUCAUUGAGCCACUGGCCUGCAGGGCUGGGUUUCACCAGUUUCACGGUGUGGGUGCUCCACAGCAACAGCUCUUCCAGAGGCUGCUGGGCUUCUCUUUCCCUCCAGGGAAUUCCAGUCUCAGGUUUGGAUGUGCCAGUGCUGAGUGUGACACAGUCCUGCUGGUCCAGUGGCACAAACUGCUGCACCCCCUGCGGAUGGAACAGCGGAUGCCGCCGCUCAUUCUCGAGGUGAAGCCCUUUCCUCCUUCCUCCCUCUGCAUCCUCCUGCCCCACAGGUGACAGGAACCUACAGCCCCCAGGAGACUGAGCUGGGAUGUCCCUGCAGCCG
rnacentral:lncRNA from 1 species